rnacentral:rRNA from 1 species
AUACGGAGGGAGCGAGCGUUAAUCGGAAUUACUGGGCGUAAAGCGCUCGUAGGCGGCCUGUUAAGUCGGAUGUGAAAGCCCCGGGCUCAACCUGGGAACUGCAUUCGAAACUGGCAGGCUAGAGUAUAGUAGAGGCAAGUGGAAUUCCGGGUGUAGCGGUGAAAUGCGUAGAUAUCCGGAGGAACAUCAGUGGCGAAGGCGACUUGCUGGACUAAUACUGACGCUGAGGAGCGAAAGCGUGGGGUGCAAACGGGAUUAGAAACCCCAGUAGUCC